CCAGACUCCUACGGGAGGCAGCAGUGGGGAAUAUUGCACAAUGGGGGAAACCCUGAUGCAGCAACGCCGCGUGAGUGAAGAAGUAUUUCGAUAUGUAAAGCUCUAUCAGCAGGGAAGAAGAUGACGGUACCUGAGUAAGAAGCCCCGGCUAACUACGUGCCAGCAGCCGCGGUAAUACGUAGGGGGCAAGCGUUAUCCGGAUUUACUGGGUGUAAAGGGAGCGUAGACGGCAGCACAAGUCUGGAGUGAAAUCCCGGGGCUUAACCCCGGAACUGCUUUGGAAACUGUGCGGCUGGAGUGCAGGAGGGGUAAGCGGAAUUCCUAGUGUAGCGGUGAAAUGCGUAGAUAUUAGGAGGAACACCGGUGGCGAAGGCGGCUUACUGGACUGUAACUGACGUUGAGGCUCGAAAGCGUGGGGAGCAAACAGGAUUAGAUACCCGCGUA
rnacentral:rRNA from 1 species